AGUUCGAUCAUGGCUCAGAUUGAACGCUGGCGGGAUGCUUUACACUAGGCAAGUCGAACGGCAGCACGGACUUCGGUCUGGUGGCGAGUGGCGAACGGGUGAGUAAUGUAUCGGAACGUGCCUAGUAGCGGGGAUAAUUACGCGAAAGCGUAGCUAAUACCGCAGCUAUUGCCCUUCGGGGAAAGUGGGGACCUUCGCUCUCGUAACGACAGAGCACAGAUAUCGGAUUAGCUAGUUGGUGGGGCAACGGCUCACUCGCUGGCGACGAUCCGUAGCUGGUUUGAGACACUGUUAAGACGGACUGAGACAGCGCCCAGACUCCUACGGGGCAGCAGUGGGGAAUUUUGGACAAUGGGGGAAACCCUGAUCCAGCCAUCCGCGUGUGCGAUGAAGGCCUUUAUUAGGGCAACUUGGCAGAGAAACUACAUGGGAUAACACCCAAAACUGACGGUACCUGCAGAAUAAGCACCGGCUAACUACGUGCCAGCAGCCGCGGUAAUACGUAGGCAAGCGUUGAUUCAAUCAUUUGGCGUAAAGCGUGCGCAGGCGGUUCGGAAAAAGAAAGACGUAAACCCAGAGCUUAACUUUGGAACUGCAUUUUUAACUACUGAGUUGGAGUGUGUCGAGGGAGGUGGAAUUCGCGUGUAGCAGUGAAAUGCGUAGAUAUGCGGAGAACACCGAUGGCGGCAGCCUCUGGAUAACACUGACGCUCAUGCACGAAAGCGUGGGGAGCAAACAGGAUUAGACACCUGUAGUCCACGCCCUGCCGAGCAACUAGCUGUUGGGGCCUGGCCUUAGCGCAGUCGACCGCGGUGGCUGACCGCCUGGGAGUACGGUCGCAAGAUUAAAACUCAAAGGAAUUGACGGGGACCCGCACAAGCGGUGGAUGAUGAUUAAUUCGAUGCAACGCGAAAAACUCACUCACCCUUGACAUGUCUGGAAUCCCGAAGAUUGGGAGUGUUUCGCAAGAGAACCGGAACACAGGUGCUGCAUGGCUGUCGUCAGCCUGUGUCGUGAGAUGUUGGUUAAGUCCCGCAACGAGCGCAACCCUUGCUGCUGAAUGGUUACUGGUGUGCACUGAGGCGAGAUUGCCGGCAGACAACCGGAGGAAGGUGGGGAUGAUGUCAAGUCCUCGGCCCUUAUGGGUAGGCUUCACGUCAAGCACAAUGGAGUCAAUAGAGGGUCGCCAACCGCGAGGGAGCCUAAUCCCAGAAACCCGAUCGUAGUCCGGAUCGCAGUCUGCAACUCGACUGCGUGAAGUCGGAAUCGCCAGUAAUCGCGGAUCAGCAUGUCGCGGUGAAUACGUUCCUGGGUCUUGUACACAUCGUGCCCACACACCCAUGGGAGUGGGUUUUACCAGAAGUAGUUAGCCUAACCGUAAGGAGUGGCGAUUACCACGGUAGGAUUCAUGAUCGGGGUGAAGUCGUAACAGAAGGUAA
rnacentral:rRNA from 1 species